CCAACAUCCAAUGAUACAAUUCCGAGAAACCCCUGCAUUUCUCCCUUGGCCUUGCUUCACCACCCCCUCCCUUUAAGCUCUUGUCCCAUGUAGCCUUGGGUCACUCGAUAAACGAUGGCUCUCUCUCCCAACCCUCCAAUUUCACCCCUGGUACCCGCCCAUCCACGGAUCGGUCCGUUAGCCAACCCUCCAACCCUCCCUUAGAAGUACUGCGUGGUGAAAGCAUCUUGUUUUGUUUUCUGCAUCUCAUAUGCCUCUCUGCUUUUCCAGGAAGCGCUGACGACCACAGACAGAUAGAACCAGCGCAUAGCCCUGGGGGGAUUGAUUGGAAGGGCAAAGUCAGGAGAAACCGGG
rnacentral:sRNA from 1 species